AUAGGCGUUCACACAUUGAGAAAUA
rnacentral:piRNA from 1 species